UAGGCGGGAAACUACGGGUAAACAGACGGUUCCUUUGUUCUCCGUUCGUUCGUUAUGUAAGUCGUACACUAUGGAUAUUGCAGAAGAAGGUUCACCCAAAUAUUGGAUCGUAAAGUUUCCAGAAGAACAAAAUUCUAUUGCCAUCGUACAUGCUACCUGGAUGCAGAAUGGCAAAUGUGCUUGGCCUAAUGAGAAGGACCCAAGACGUCUGCAGCAAAUAACUAUGAAAGGCCUGAAGCCACAGAGCAGCUGGUUGACGUAUGACUGCACUCGGGUUUUUGCUUUUGACACAUAUGAUGCCGCAAGAAGAAAGCUGGCACAAGCAGAGGAUACGUCAGACCUGUGUAGCGAGAACGAAUUAGGUAGAGGGAAAAGAAAGAAAAAGCGCAAAGUACAGAGUGAAGAGGAGGUAGAAGACAACCAAUUGCCUGCAUUUUACCCAGAUGAACUGAGCAACAG